rnacentral:rRNA from 1 species
ACGCUCGACACCUACGGCAGCAGUAGGGAAUCUUCCACAAUGGACGCAAGUCUGAUGGAGCAACGCCGCGUGAGUGAAGAAGGUCUUCGGAUCGUAAAACUCUGUUGUUAGAGAAGAACACGAGUGAGAGUAACUGUUCAUUCGAUGACGGUAUCUAACCAGCAAGUCACGGCUAACUACGUGCCUGCAGCCGCGGUAAUCUGAGCGGGCUGGCAAGGC